rnacentral:rRNA from 1 species
AACGAACGCUGGCGGCGUGGAUAAGACAUGCAAGUCGAGCGAGAUUUUUUCUUGUAGCAAUACGAGGAAAAGUCUAGCGGCGAACGGGUGCUUAACACGUGGGCAACCUGCCAAGAAGUGGGGGAUAGCUCGCCGAAAGGCGAAUUAAUACCGCAUGUGAUCAGAGUGGACAUCCAUUCAAAAUUAAAGUCGGGGCAACCUGACGCUUCUUGAGGGGCCCGCGGCCUAUCAGCUAGUUGGUGAGGUAACGGCCCACCAAGGCUUUGACGGGUAGCUGGUCGGAGAGGACGACCAGCCGCACUGGGACUGAGACACGGCCCAGACACCUACGGGUGGCAGCAGUCGAGAAUUUUUCUCAAUGGGGGAAACCCUGAAGGAGCGACGCCGCGUGGAGGAUGAAGGUCUUCGGAUUGUAAACUCCUGUCAUUGGGGAACAAUGCGUAAAUAUUAACUGUAUUUGCGUUGAUAGUACCCGAAGAGGAAGAGACGGCUAACUCUGUGCCAGCAGCCGCAGUAA